UGUUGUUGGUUUUCCUGAUUAUAAUGACAAUCAUGCAUGCGGGGUUGUGAUGCUUAUGGCGAUCCGGGAGACUGCUAAUGCUUUCAAAAAGUCAAUGCAUGUGGGGGAGAUAGGCGCUGCCCGGAAGGCUCUGUUCUUGUCCCAUUUGAAUUCAGACUACAACUCUUGCCGUCCAUUGAUACCGGAGAUAAUUGCUACCCAUUGCCGUUGAUUUAUAAUAGUCUAGUGUCAUGAACUUAUGUUUAUUUUAGUUCGAGUGUUUAAUCAUCAACUUUGUUUAUCGGUUGCGUAUGAACUAUACCGUGCUUUUGUUGUUUGGUGACCAAUACUUCCCUUACAUUAUGCAUUUUGGUUAAAGGGGAUGGAAUAUUUUGUAGUUUUGGCACCAAUAUAUGUGUGUAAUAUUUUAACGACAUUGUUCUAUAUUGCAAUGUCGUCAA